CUCACAGCGGUCACCAGCAAAGUUGACGUCGCACAGGCAGUGGAACUUGUUGAGGAGAUUCUGGCAGAGGCCCCCAUUGAGACACGGGUCGGAGCUGCACUCGUCAAUGUCCUUCUCGCACCUGCAGGGAACACUGCCAACAGUCAGCCUCCGACACCAGCAUCCAAUGUGCUUUGUGGGGACAGGGAGAUGCUCUGGGGCACAGUUCCACACGUGUUUAUGGUUUUAUUAACUAGCUGGUUAGCCCCACUCCAAUCCUGAACUUCCCGUGGGAUUUCCAAGCACAGAUAGUUAAGCGGGUAAUUUCAUCUCGGUACAGCACUUCAUGGUUAAUGGUGCUUAGCAAGGUGCAAUGCAGGAUUUCAGAGCCAGCCCUGCUGCAAGCUUGCUUGUCCUUUUCAUUGUUCCAGGAAGCUGAGGGCACAGUUUCCUUCUCAGUAAUCUGGAUAAAAGUCAAACAAAUGUGUGUUUUUCCCAGCUGAGCACUCCUGGAAAUAUUCACCUGCUUUUGGGGAGUUUUUAAACCUUUUUAUUUUUUCCCUCAAUUUGGAAUGCCCAUAGAUCCCAGCACAAUUUCCUAUCCAGUAUCUCUGAGACAGGCCCCAGAAAAGGUGUGCCUUAAGAUGUUUUAUGAAGCAUUUGAUUGAUCCCAAUUUCAUCUCACCGCUGCAAAAGGAUGAAUUUAAUGGAAGUGAGUUGAUGGAAAGGCCCUUCGAAAUCCCUGUGAGCAGAGUUGUGCCUGUCAUGUUCAAAGGCAGCUUCUCCUGGUGGGCAGGCACUGCCACGGCCCCGUGCUGGUGGGACUGGGAGGGCAGCAGAACUCAGCUCACACUGCUGUGAGUGAAAAUUGAUGGGCAACGUUGUGGCAGCUUUAUGGACAUCUUCACAAAGUGCCAUUCUGAGGGCAAUGUACUGAUCUACCAGACAACCUUGACCAGUUGGGCUGAGUGGGCAAUGGCAAGUGUAAUUUCCAGGAAAAUUCUCACAGAUCCCACCAUUUUGGCAAGGGUUCGUGUAACAUUCGUUGACGUCUUCAUCACAUGUAAGAACUACUGACUAUUCCUGGUCCCAUAUGAAACACCUUGGAGCAACACAGUUCAAGUGAGAGUCACAGGACUUACAAGUGAUAUUUGACACAGUGGGUCAGACUGACAAGGGGGUGAACAUGCCUGCAAAACCAGUCCUGAUGGCAGUGGGACAGCAUGGCCCUCAGCUAGGCCUGUGUGCGCUUGCCAUGGAAUCCUGGCUGCCUGGUGGGGAAUUUCCUGGAGCAUAUUAGAGUGCUUGUUUUCUCCAUGGCUUUUACAGCCCUGGGUGGACUCUGCAUGACCGGCUGCAGACCAAGAUCCCUGAGCUUCACAUGAAGAUCCUGCUAACCCAGCUGCGUGGUGCCAGAGCUGAAAACUGCCACGAAGAAUUCAGACCAGCAAACAGCGUCCAGCACAAAGUGUUUGGGAAGCAGCACCUCCCAGAUCAGGCUGAGUGAGCCCUGACACGGCAGCUCCAGGCAGGACUCACUCGUGUCUCACAGAUGCUGCACACGGACAGCAUUCCACGCUCCCUCUGCUGGCUCACAGAGCCUGCCCUUCUGGAGGUCACAGGGAGCAACUGAUCUCAUCGCCAUGCUUGAUUGCCAUUCUCUUUUGUGGAGGUUUUCAGUUGAAGGAUGUGACUUCCAGAAAGCACAGAGCAAAAUUUCCCUGUAGGCAUCGCUGAAGUGUCUCGAUGAGGACCGUGGCAAGCACUAAAUUCCUCCUGGAAAUCUUGGCCUCUGUGUUAAAGUAUUAGAUAAUAUUAUGGGAACAAUAAGCAGCGGUAGGUGCCCCAAAGGGAUUUCAAGUUUCUGCUAAGAUCGGGUAAGACAGCAUUCAUCUUAAUGCCAAUGCCUUUCUCAAAGGCUGCAGUUUUGUACUGAACUAAAUCCUGAAAGUUUGUCAGUUUGAAUUACAUUGUUCACAAGGCAAAAUGAAAUAUUCUGGCUUCCAAACUUGUGCUGAUUUCCAUGAUCUCACACCUACUUUAACCACUGGUGGUGAUGCUGACCUCAGUGACGAUGACGUAUGUGAUGUCACCAUGUCCCAAUGCCAGUGAAAGGAAAACACCCCCUGGAUGGAGGGGGCACAGUUUGACCUCUAAGCAUCAUGCUGGAUGUGAAAGAGGGAAAGAGGAGACAUUUCUGCUGUAGUUGACUUACAUUCUUCAGGUGUCUAGAGAGCCCUACAAAUCACCAGGUGGUUUGUUGCUGAACUGCCUCUUAAUUUUUGUGUGUGGGCAAGCUGAGAUCUUUGCAUAUGUUGAACUUCAUGCAGUACUUUCCAUUUGCCUGGAUAUCAAGUCUUUUCAUGUUUCCCUCCACUUUUUUUUUUUAAUGGCAUUUUUAUAGUAAGUGCUUCCAAUACACUGAAAGCCUGGGUGAAUAUGCUUUUGUUGUGCAUGGGCAGGUGCUGAGACCUCUGGUCUUAGCACCCAGAUUUGACUUUAGCACCAACAUUCACCAAACACAGUUUUGUGGGACUGAAACUUCUGAAUCUGA